rfam:Brassica napus, WGS project CCCW01000000 data, contig: 7113
GAUAUUGGAUGAACCAUAGUCUUGUUUCUCUCCUAACAUUAUAUUAAUCAGAUAUUAAUGCUUGUUUUCCUCUCUUCAUGGAACUUCAAGUUUGGCUAUUCUGUUACAUUC